rnacentral:rRNA from 1 species
UAGAGUUUGAUCCUGGCUCAGAUUGAACGCUGGCGGCAGGCCUAACACAUGCAAGUCGAGCGGAAACGACNCUAACAAUCCUUCGGGUGCGUUAAUGGGCGUCGAGCGGCGGACGGGUGAGUAAUGCCUAGGAAAUUGCCUUGAUGUGGGGGAUAACCAUUGGAAACGAUGGCUAAUACCGCAUAAUACCUACGGGCCAAAGAGGGGGACCUUCGGGCCUCUCGCGUCAAGAUAUGCCUAGGUGGGAUUAGCUAGUUGGUGAGGUAAUGGCUCACCAAGGCGACGAUCCCUAGCUGGUCUGAGAGGAUGAUCAGCCACACUGGAACUGAGACACGGUCCAGACUCCUACGGGAGGCAGCAGUGGGGAAUAUUGCACAAUGGGCGAAAGCCUGAUGCAGCCAUGCCGCGUGUAUGAA